UACGUAGGUGGCGAGCGUUGUCCGGAAUUAUUGGGCGUAAAGAGCUCGUAGGCGGCUUGGCAAGUCGGGUGUGAAAUCUCCAGGCUCAACCUGGAGUCGCCACUCGAUACUGCCAUGGCUAGAGUCCGGUAGGGGACCAUGGAAUUCCUGGUGUAGCGGUGAAAUGCGCAGAUAUCAGGAGGAACACCAGUGGCGAAGGCGGUGGUCUGGGCCGGAACUGACGCUGAGGAGCGAAAGCGUGGGGAGCGAACAGGAUUAGAUACCCCGGUAGUCC
rnacentral:rRNA from 1 species